ACAGUCGUGGCCGAGUGGUUAAGGUAAUUGACUAGAUAUCCAUCGGGGUUUCCCCACACAGGUUCGAAUCCUGUCGACUGCA
rnacentral:tRNA from 2 species